CACGUAGGGCGCAAGCGUUGUCCGGAAUUAUUGGGCGUAAAGAGCUCGUAGGCGGUUUGUCGCGUCUGCUGUGAAAACCCGAGGCUCAACCUCGGGCCUGCAGUGGGUACGGGCAAACUAGAGUGCGGUAGGGGAGAAUGGAAUUCCUGGUGUAGCGGUGGAAUGCGCAGAUAUCAGGAGGAACACCGAUGGCGAAGGCGGGUCUCUGGGCCGAUACUGACGCUGAGACGCGAAAGCGUGGGGAGCAAACAGG
rnacentral:rRNA from 1 species